rnacentral:rRNA from 1 species
CUAGCUGUAAACGAUGGGUACUAGGCGUUGAGAGUAUCGACCCUCUCAGUGUCGUAGCUAACGCGUUAAGUAUCCCGCCUGGGGAGUACGCGCGCAAGCGUGAAACUCAAAGGAAUUGACGGGGGCCCGCACAAGCGGUGGAGUAUGUGGUUUAAUUCGAUGCAACGCGAAGAACCUUACCAGGGCUUGACAUGUCCGGAACCCUGCCCAAAGGCGGGGGUGCCUACGGGAACCGGAACACAGGUGGUGC